rnacentral:rRNA from 1 species
CUUGGUCAUUUAGAGGAAGUAAAAGUCGUAACAAGGUAUCCUUCCACGGAAGCCUGUGUUCCAGCGACUCUAAAUAACGGAGCAAGUGGCUACUAGUCGCUACAUAAUCGAAUUGCGGGGAUCUCCUAAAGCUUUUAGGCUACUACCCAACCGCUGAAAAGUGGUUGGCACAGUAAGAAUGCCUGAGAUACUACAAUGGACGAUCCGCAGCCCAGCCCCUACCGCCAGAAGGCCACGGGGAAGGUUCACAGACUAAGUGAUUAUGGGUAGGGUCCGCCUACUUAAGAUAUAGUCGGUCGGUCAGCGAGAGCUGACUGCUAGAGACGUUCCGUAGGUGAACCUGCGGAAGGAUCAUUACAGUGUUCGCUGCCCUCACGGGUAGCAAACCUCACCCUUGUGUAUUAUAUCUUUGUUGCUUUGGCACGCCGCCUUCGGGCACUGGCUUCGGCUGGCUCGCGCGUGUCAGAGGACCCCAAACUCUGAAUGUUAGUGUCGUCUGAGUACUAUCUAAUAGUUAAAACUUUCAACAACGGAUCUCUUGGUUCUGGCAUCGAUGAAGAACGCAGCGAAAUGCGAUAAGUAAUGUGAAUUGCAGAAUUCAGUGAAUCAUCGAAUCUUUGAACGCACAUUGCGCCCGGUGGUAUUCCGCCGGGCAUGCCUGUUCGAGCGUCAUUUAAACCAAUCCAGCCUCGUGCUUGGGUCUUGGGCCUUUCGCCUCCGGGCGGGCCUCAAAAUCAGUGGCGGUGCCUCCUGGCUCUAAGCGUAGUAAUACUCCUCGCUAUAGACGUUCGGUGGUGUCCUGCCAGCAACCCCCCCAUUUUCAAAGGUUGACCUCGGAUCAGGUAGGGAUACCCGCUGAACUUAAGCAUAUCAAUAAGCGGAGGA